UGCACAUCCAAGCCAUUUAAAUCAACACCUGUGACUCACCAUAGGCCUUCAUGCUUAUGUAUCAUAUAUAUACUCAAAUCAUAGAAUGUAUGUUUUGCCUUUGAAAAAGCAAUCAAAUACAACUUUCAACAACAGAUCUCUUGGCUCUUGCAUCAAUGAAGAACACAAUGAAAUGCAAUAAGUAAUGUGAAUUGCAGAUUUUCAGUGAAUCAUCAAAUCUUUGAAUGCACCUUGCACUCCUUGGUAUUCUGAGGAGCAUGCCUGUUUGAGUGUCAUUAAAUCCUCAACCCUGUCUGUUGGUCAGGGCUUGGACUUUGGAGUGUGCUGGCGAAGGUCAGCUCCUCUUUAAAUGCAUCAGCAGAGAAAAACAAACCUUUUUCCCCCUUCAGCGUGAUAACUGUGUUGCGCUGUGGUUGCGAAAGGAUCUGCUCAUAAUCAUCCUUGGACAAACACUGAAUCUGUUUUGACCUCAGAUCAGGUAGGACUACCUGCUGAACUUAA
rnacentral:rRNA from 1 species